GCAGUCGUGGCCGAGUGGUACUAGGCGAUGGACUAGAAAUUCAUUGCGGUCUCCCCGCACGGGUUCCAAUCCUGUCGAUUGCG
rnacentral:tRNA from 1 species